CCUACGGGAGACUGCAGUGGGGAAUAUUGCACAAUGGGGGAAACCCUGAUGCAGCGACGCCGCGUGAGUGAAGAAGUAAUUCGUUAUGUAAAGCUCUAUCAGCAGGGAAGAAAAUGACGGUACCUGAGUAAGAAGCCCCGGCUAACUACGUGCCAGCAGCCGCGGUAAUACGUAGGGGGCAAGCGUUAUCCGGAUUUACUGGGUGUAAAGGGAGCGUAGACGGCGCGGCAAGUCUGAAGUGAAAGGCAGGGGCUUAACCCCUGAACUGCUUUGGAAACUGCCAUGCUAGAGUGUUGGAGAGGUAAGUGGAAUUCCUAGUGUAGCGGUGAAAUGCGUAGAUAUUAGGAGGAACACCAGUGGCGAAGGCGGCUUACUGGACAGUAUCUGACGUUGAGGCUCGAAAGCGUGGGGAGCAAACAGGAUUAGAUACCCUAGUAGUC
rnacentral:rRNA from 1 species